UACGUAGGGUGCAAGCGUUGUCCGGAAUUAUUGGGCGUAAAGAGCUCGUAGGCGGUUUGUCGCGUCGAAUGUGAAAGCCCGGGGCUCAACCCCGGGCCUGCAUUCGAUACGGGCAGACUAGAGUUCGGUAGGGGAGUCUGGAAUUCCUGGUGUAGCGGUGAAAUGCGCAGAUAUCAGGAGGAACACCGGUGGCGAAGGCGGGUCUCUGGGCAGUAACUGACGCUGAGGAGCGAAAGCGUGGGGAGCGAACAGG
rnacentral:rRNA from 1 species